CUCACCCCCUUGCCCCUCGCCAAUCGCCGACAAAUGGAAAUGGCCGAUCAGUAUCGGGCAGCAUCGGUUUACCCAUUAAAUACAUAAUCCUCGUGUUUCCACGCGAGUACAUUAACGAUUACAUUAAAGAUAAAGCCGUCUUGCUCGAUCAUCGCAUGCUGAACCGCUGAACUAAAAUUCGAGAUUCUAAUUUUUUCGCGAGUCACGAAAUAUCAACAUUUCGAGUUUGUGCUUCGACCUGUGCUUGUCUCGUGUGGGUUUUCGUUCCUACCACUGGAAUCUACGGUUGAAAUUUCCUCGUUAAUGAAUCAUGAAAUAUUGUUGUGUCAUUGUUGAUAUUUCAACGGAGUAAAACUUCUCAUAUGAGAAUUGAGAAACCUUUUAUUUGCAUUCGUAGUUUUUGUUUUUCAUCCAAAUUCUAACAUGGCUGCUGCAGCCGCUGCCGCUUUGCUUGACGAACUCAUGGGAAGGAACAGAAAUGUUCUUCCAAACGAAAAGCCUAAAGAACUCAAUUGGGAAGAUCCUGAGUUCUGCAAACUCUAUCUUGUCAAGUUCUGUCCUCACGAUCUCUUUGUUAACACUCGAGCCGACCUUGGAGCAUGUUCGAGGGUUCACGAUGACGAGGCGAGGGAACUUUUUGAAAAAGCUAGCUAUUCAUACAGAAAACAACAAUAUGAGGAUGAAUUUAUCAGAUUUUGCCAAGGCAUGCUUAAUGAAGUUGAGAGAAAAAUUAUCAAAGGGAAACAGAGAUUGGCGCUCAUUGGACGAACAGAGGCUCCAACUCUUACACCAGCACAAACUCAAAGAAACGAGGAACAAAUAGCUCUACUUACAGAAAAAAUAAACAAGCUUGUAGAGGAGGCAGAGCAGAGUGGAAUACAGGGCAAUGUUGAGCAAGCUCAGGGUCUCAUGAGAUUGUGCGAUCAACUCAAGGAAGAACGGGAAACUCUGCGAAAGUCGAACGACAACAGUCACUAUAAUCAGACUGCUGAGUUGGCAGCCGCACAAGAAAAACAGAUGGAAGUUUGUGACGUCUGUGGAGCGUUCCUCAUAGUCGGGGAUGCUCAACAACGAAUUGAUGACCAUCUUAUGGGGAAACAGCACGUAGGAUACGCUAGACUAAAAAGUGCUUUACAAGAAAUUAUGGACAAACGCGAGCGUGUAAGAGACGAAAAAGAGCAAAAGCGGGACGAGGACAGAAAGCAACGUGCUCGAGCGAAUGAAGAAAUGGAGAGGAAGCGCCGAGAAGGAGACAGAGAAAGAGACAGAGACCGGGAUAAUAGGGAAAGGGAUCGUGAUAGGGGUGAUAGAGAAAAGCGACGUCGGCGUCCUGAUGAAGAUAAGAGUCGUCACGAUGGCAUUGGACAUAGAAACUUCGGGCAUCAGAGCAGAAGUAAAUCUCGCGAACGGCAUGAACGUCACCGAGAAGAAGAGAACCAUAGACGUCAUAAUCGAGAUAAAGGAAAUCGUGAUCAUCGAAAUUCGAGUAGUCACAAUCGUCGCCGGCACCGUUCUCGAAGUCGAAGUCACAAGUAACUACUCUUGAUUGGUUAGUGAGUGAGAAGUGAGCCAGGUAUGCACUAAUCAAUUAAAUUUUUACAUCUCAAUAACUACUGUACAGGUACAAAAUAAUUCAGGUGAGUUAAGUUAGAAAAUGACCAAAAAAUUUACGUGUAAUGAGUGCUCAACAGAGGACAAUGAAACCUACGAAUAAAAGAGAUCGGUAAACUUGCCGAUCACUAUAAAAAAAGAAAAAAAGGAAAAGAGAAUGAAAAAUAAAAAUGACCGAACAUACAGGAACAAAAUCGGAUGAAGAAACAUUUCAUCGUCGUAACUUUUUUUCAAUUUCUUUCGGGGCAUAAAAUACCAAUUUUAUUUUCAUUUUUGAAGCGUAAAAAAAUGGAAACUUUCGAACAACCGUGAUAAUAAAAAAUCGCGUGAUACGAAAAUUGAGGAAAAACCGGGCUGUGUAAUUUCCAUGAUAAACGGAUAAAUAUCUAUAAUUAGUUCUAUUAAAUUGAAAAUAGCAGAGCAAGUUGGGAGAAGGUAUACCUGUACUUGCUUUGGAUUUAAAAUAUAUUGUAAUGUGAGCUUCGUAACAGGUUUUCAAAGCGGCGAUUUGUGUUAAAUACAAACGAAAAACAAAAAAAAAUACGAAACCAACGAAUUGAGUGCAAAGAUAUUAUUUUCUUUUUUUCUCUAUUUUCUAUAAUUUUUUUCGCAAAGAAAAAUUAGUGGUUUAGUGGAGGAAAUCAGUGCCUAUUGCCGGUAGAGCCGCCACGACAGUGCCCUGUGUGACUGUGACUAUACAUUCGUAACUUCCGCCACGCAUUGAUGAGAAUUUUCAAGAGUCGGGGAAGGAAAAUUGCGAGAGCGGUAGAGCACACACGAACACGAGCACCCAGCUUAAUGUAUUGUUUAAGGUAAAAAUUUUGCAUCAUCUCUCAAAAAUGUCGGACAAGACGAACGUGAUUUUAUCCCGUGAUGUUGGACCAGUAGAGAAAUAAAAACAUUCAUAUGAA
rnacentral:misc_RNA from 1 species